UCCGCUGAUCUUCAGCGCUACCGGUUGAACUGGUAGGAUAGCAUCACUGCUUCCAAUGCAGUGACAAAAUGAAGCUUUGAUGCCAUAUGAUUUAGCAAACACACAGAACCUAUUCUGACUGUUAAAACGAAAGGAUGCUUGACUGCCAACAUUUUCUCUGAGAAUAUUUCUCCACGUCGAUAACUGAAGAAUUCCCAAUGGGAGUUAAAAAAACAAAACUGAAUUUAACCAGAACACAGGUUACAAAAUGCUCUAUCGUACAAUAAUUGAUUUUGUGAUACAUCAGGCGGGAGUUCACAUAGAGAUUAUUUUCACUUAAGCCUCUGGUUGAUCGUGAGUUUAGAUCCUAAAGGUGAAGAACCAGCACACAAUAAGUAGAAGGCUAGCUGCAGAGGUUUAUUGUAUACUUUGCAGAAGUCAGAAUGCACUUCAGGAGCUAGAAGGGUUUCACUCUAGCUGACUGAUGGAAAUUACAAAGAAAAGUUGUUUUGGAAGGGGAUACAGAGGACUAAACAAGAAGGCUCUAAGCAGAGUAAAUGGAAUUUGGAAUCAAAAGAUGACAUGAUCUGGAGUCAAAGUGAGGCAGCUGAGUUCACUAGUUCACGGGAAAGGCUUUGACCUGAAACCCUGAUGAUCUGUCAUCAGAAUGGUUGAUAAAGAUAUGAAUGAGCUACAGUGGUGACAUGUCGCUGACAGGAACCUGGAGAUAGAGUAUGCUCAAUGAGUACUGUUGAUGCCCAAGCAUCCCAUUUUAUUAAAAGAAUCCAGAUUAAUCUUGAUUUGUUUAGCAUAUACAACAUGGAUCAGCAAAAUAGGAAUGCCUUUAGCAAAUGAAAAUAGUCAAGUGUACAAUAGUGGGGCAAUCAACCCAGCUUAGCUGUUAUUCUGCUGCUGUUUCUUUUCACCAUGAUUGUUUUGGUUCACACAUGCAUAAUAGUCUCAAGUGA